AGGAUGAACGCUAGCGGCAGGCCUAAUACAUGCAAGUCGAACGAUACCAGGGGGCUUGCUCUCUGGGAAAGUGGCGCACGGGUGCGUAACGCGUAUGCAACCUGCCUUUAUCAGGGGGAUAGCCUCUCGAAAGAGAGAUUAACACCGCAUAAAACCACACCCCGGCAUCGGGGAAUGGUCAAAUAUUAUAGGAUAAAGAUGGGCAUGCGUGACAUUAGCUAGUUGGCGGGUAACGCCCACCAAGGCGACGAUGUC
rnacentral:rRNA from 1 species